AUCCGAUCGUGGUUCAUAAGCGUGAUUAUUGGGUUUAUACAUGUCUGUGUGGCACGUGCCUCCCUUCAACCUUGUUACGACAUUGGCACGUGGCCUGUUUGAUG